rnacentral:rRNA from 1 species
GACUCCGGAGAGGGAGCCUGAGAAACGGCUACCACAUCCAAGGAAGGCAGCAGGCGCGCAAAUUACCCACUCUCGGCACGAGGAGGUAGUGACGAAAAAUAACGAGACGGAUCUCUUUGAGGCCCGUUAUCGGAAUGAGAACAAUUCAAAUCCUUUAACGAGGAUCUAGCGGAGGGCAAGUCUGGUGCCAGCAGCCGCGGUAAUUCCAGCUCCGCAGGUGUAUAUCUAUGCUGCUGCGGUUAAAAAGCUCGUAGUUGGGUCUGCGUGCUCGGAACUGGUUGGCUCACAGAGUUCAAACUGGUCUCCGGCGCUUUAUUGGCUGGUUUUCCCUUGAUGCUCUUAACCGGGUGUCUUGGGUGGCUAGCACGUUUACUUUGAAAAAAUUAGAGUGCUCAAUACAGGCGUAAAGCCUUGAAUAGUGGUGCAUGGAAUAAUAGAAUAGGACCUCGGCUCUAUUUUGUUGGUUUUCGGAACGCGAGGUAAUGAUUAAGAGGGACAGACGGGGGGCAUUCGUAUUGCGACGUUAGAGGUGAAAUUCUUGGAUCGUCGCAAGACGGACGACUGCGAAAGCAUUUGCCAAGAAUGUUUUCAUUAAUCAAGAACGAAAGUUAGAGGUUCGAAGGCGAUCAGAUACCGCCCUAGUUCUAACCGUAAACGAUGCCAACUAGCGAUUCGCAGGCGUUAGACAACGACCUUGCGGGCAGCUUCCCGGAAACGAAAGUGUUCGGGUUCCGGGGGAAGUAUGGUUGCAAAGCUGAAACUUAAAGGAAUUGACGGAAGGGCACCACCAGGAGUGGAGCCUGCGGCUUAAUUUGACCCAACACGGGAAAACUCACCCGGCCCGGACACCGUAAGGAUUGACAGGUUGAGAGCUCUUUCUUGAUUCGGUGGGUGGUGGUGCAUGGCCGUUCUUAGUUGGUGGAGCGAUUUGUCUGGUUUAUUCCGAUAACGAACGAGACUCUGGCCUACUAAAUAGUGGGCGGAUUCUUUCUGUCCGCAACACUUCUUAGAGGGACAAGCGGUGUUCAGCCGCACGAGAUUGAGCAAUAACAGGUCUGUGAUGCCCUUAGAUGUCCGGGGCUGCACGCGCGCUACACUGAAGGAAUCAGCGUGCUUUCUGACCUUGCCCGAAAGGGCUGGGUAACCCGAUGAAAAUCCUUCGUGAUUGGGAUAGGGACUUGCAAUUAUUUCCCUUGAACGAGGAAUUCCCAGUAAGUGUGGGUCAUAAGCUCGCGUUGAUUACGUCCCUGCCCUUUGUACACACCGCCCGUCGCUGCCCGGAACUGAGCCGUUUCGAGAAGAACAGGGACCGUCGUUGAAGGGCCUUAACGGGCUUUUCUCUGAUAGAAACUGUUUUAAUCGCAGUGGCUUGAACCGGGCAAAAGUCGUAACAAGGUU